AUGUCAAACAGGUUGAAGAAUUUAAGGAGUAAUAUUCGGUGGAAAGGCGUAACGGAAGACAAUGAAGACCCUUAGGAACGGUUUUGGCAGUUAAAUGAGUCAAAAACAAGGCCUGUUUCUGAUGGACACGCAGUUGUUCUUCAGUUGAGUGAAUAAUUGCGCGUAGUUUCUUUACAACAGCAGUGCAAUCAUCCUGCAUUUGCUUUCCUUUUGCCAGUGUUUGAUCCAUUGCCUUCAGCUUGUCAUACGCACUAGAAUUAUAGCAAGAAUAAACUAUAUUAUAUCCCAAAAUGAUAAUUUCAUAUAAUCCCCUUAAAACUUGAUAUAUUAUCUAUCAUAUUUACCCAAUACAAAUUCAUAAUCAAAUGUACCCAUUUUUAUAUUUAGAGUAAAUUGCCAAAAUCGUCACUAAGGUUUGGGCACUUUUGCUAGAUCCAACCAAAAACAUUUUUUUUUUCCUCAACUGGAUCACUAAGGUUUCAAAAUCGCUGGCCGAUGCAUCCAUUUCUCUAACCUCGUUAAAAACUAACGUUAACUCAGGGAUAUUUUGGUCAUUCUAUUAAUAUUUAAUUUUUCUAGUUUAUAACCUGUUUUUAAAACCAGGUUAAAACAUAAAGCAAAAAUAUAAAGAGUUUGGAGUGUAAGAAUGAAAGAAUGAAAGAGGGGUAUAUGAAAUGAGUAAGUAUAAAGUUUUAUUUAUUUUGAAUAGGUAUAUUUGAUGUUUUUUUUGAUAGCGUAAACAAGAUACUAUGCAAUAUGAUAUAUUAAAUUGCCCCAUACAGAAAUUGAAAAUAGAACUUACUUCUUUGGUAGAUCUGUAUCCUUGCUUGCAUCACCGAGUGCUCUUUGGACGUCCUUCAUACGUGCCCGAAGUUCCCUAUUAAACUGAGCAUUGUUUCUUGUUGAUGAAAGGGAAAGGUAAACUCUCGCUCUAAUCAACUGAUCCUUGAGAUACCGAACACGACUAUCCGCCAAAACACGUUCAUUGGGUUUCUCACUUUUGGUUUUUGUGGAUUUCUGAGCCUCGGGUUUGGUUUCCUUAAAGAUCGACAAUAACAAGAAUUUAGUCUUCACUUUUAGGGGUUUUAUAAUGCAUACAACUUUGUUAGUUCAUGGAUCAAAUGGAAUGUAAGCCUUUAC
rnacentral:lncRNA from 1 species